CCCUUAGAUGUUCUGGGCCGCACGCGCGCUACACUGAAUGGAUCAACGUGUUUUCCCUUCCCGAGAGGGACGGGUAACCCGCUGAACCCCAUUCGUGGUAGGGAUCGGAGCUUGCAAUUGUUCUCCGUGAACCAGGAAUUCCCAGUAAGCGCAAGUCAUAAGCUUGCGUUGAUUACGUCCCUGCCCUUUGUACACACCGCCCGUCGCUCCUACCGAUUGAAUGGUCCGGUGAAGCGUUCGGACCGUGGCCUUUGGACGGUUCGCCGUCUGUUGGCUGCGGGAAGUUCGUUAAACCUUAUCAUUUAGAGGAAGGAGAAGUCGUANCA
rnacentral:rRNA from 1 species